rnacentral:rRNA from 1 species
GUGAGGAAUAUUGGUCAAUGGACGCAAGUCUGAACCAGCCAUGCCGCGUGAAGGAUGAAGGCCUUCUGGGUUGUAAACUUCUUUUAUUGGGGAAGAAAAUUAUGGUUUCUACUAUAACCGACGGUACCCAAGGAAUCAGCACCGGCUAACUCCGUGCCAGCAGCCGCGGUAAUACGGAGGGUGCAAGCGUUAUCCGGAUUCACUGGGUUUAAAGGGUGUGUAGGCGGAUAUUUAAGUCAGUGGUGAAAUCUCCGGGCUCAACCCGGAAACUGCCAUUGAUACUAUUUAUCUUGAAUCUUGUUGAGGUAGGCGGAAUAUAUCAUGUAGCGGUGAAAUGCUUAGAUAUGAUAUAGAACACCGAUUGCGAAGGCAGCUUACUAAACAAGCAUUGACGCUGAGGCACGAAAGCGUGGGGAUCAAACAGGAUUAGAAACCCUAGUAGUCC